CACGCACGCGACCUCUUUCUCGCUGGUUUCAUCUCCUCCGCCCCCACGCCCCUCGUCCCCUCCGCUGUUGCUCUGCCGCCGCCACCGCCGCCUAUUCCUCCGCCAAAUCCACCGCACGAGGGCUAGCCUGCCCACGCCUCCACCUCGCGCCUCGUCGCCAUGGUCACCGCCCCCGCCGCCGGCGAGGCAACCCCGCUGGAUCUUCCCCUCCACCCACCCUGGUUUGGCGUCCGGAGAUGUGGAACGGGACGUCCAUGAGGUGGGGCUACCUUCACCUCCGCCCCACCCUUCCAUGGGGCUCGCUGAGCUGCCAGCCGACCGUGAUGGAUGCGGUGGCGAGGACGACAGGCAGCCCCCCCGGUGAGGGUUGUCUGCCCUUGUGUCCCCAAAUCAUACCUACAUGCAUAUGCGGAACAAAGUUUACUAAUUCGAGGACGACCACAAUGAGGCUCUCCUACCCAACCCGCUCUUGAGCAAAUUGACGUUGUUUUCCUUUUUGGGGGAUAAUUUUCCGUGCUGAUUUCGAUUUGCAGAUUAGAUAGUUGGGUUUUUCUUGCAUCUUGAUAUUUGUUGUGUAGGAAGCUGUGCAAGCAAGAGCCGCACUUGUGCAAUUUCAAGGCAUUCCUCUUCUUCACCAGGUAUAAAUUGUGUUCGGGAAUAAGAGUGCAGGCUAUAGAACUAUGACAGUGCAGUAGGUAGAAUGCUUAUUUGUACAUGGGUUGAUAUGUUUAGAAUUUGUCCUUUUACUAUGUUUCUGAUGUAACUGAAGAGUGAACUACUUUACUGUACAUACAGUAUAUUCUAUUGCUAAGUAUUGUGGUUGACAUGGAACUGUUGACUUAAACCCGUGUAUCUGGGAAGCUGGUUGUAGUGUUGUACUUAGACCAAAACUGCCUUACUUCUAGCCUCCAAGCAAUGCCAGUGUAGAAUUAGUUCCUGCCAAAUAUUAUUAGUUUUUUUGGAUUGUGGUGGUUUCUUCCCUGUUCUUCCUCCCUUUCUUUUCCCUUUUUAAAUAAAUGUUCCUGCCUUCUAUCAAAUUAUCUCACUUACUGUAGACAUUGCGUUCUUGUUGAGAAUGAUAGGUUUCACUGAUUUGACAUCGAAAUUUUGCUUACUAUUUCAGUAUCCAUGCCUUUUAUUGUAGCGCCAGUAGAUCUUCUCUUCUCUCCAGGUUUACUGUGAGAUGAUAUAUCUAUUUCAGUAUUUCUGUAACAUAUAGGUUUGACCAAAGGAUGGCUGUGUUUGCUGAAACAAAGUUGCAAAGAGAUGGCAUCGAGUUGAGUACAGGAUUCAGAGUGAUAAAGGUCUCUGAUGAUUCGAUUGCAGUGAAGUACAAAUCAUCUGGUGGAGAAUCAUUGGUGCCAUAUGGGAUGGUCGUUAACAUCUCAUCGAACUAUCGGUGUUCCUUUGUUUUUGGAUGCAGGAUCGGAGGACGAACCUGUCAUACUCGCAGCACGCGUCGCUGGUGUACAUGCCGGUGCCGACCAAGAAGAUUUCGUAUGCUCCAGGAGGAGCAGGUGGUGUACGAGGCAGCCAGUUGCAAUGGAGGAGGAUGAGAUCCACGGGGAGGGCUUCCUGGAGAUAUCACAACAUCUCCAAAUGUUACAACAAGGAGAAGAAAAGGCAAGAUGUUUAAGGCUGGUGCACCCUGUUUAAAUGAAUGGUUUUACAGUUUGGUGCUGAACAAUAUGAGAAAGCUGCUGCUGGAGGUGGUGGAUUCGAGGGCGGUUUUGAAAAUCCUAUUGAGGAUAUUUUCGGUUCUCUUAUGACCGUACUGGCAGAAUGAAUGAUGUAUGCCAUCUAUUCUGACUUGUUAAUCUUGUCUACUGCUACAGCAAUGGAUAAAUUUGUCGGGUUUCCCCUGUUGGUUACAUUUUCAUUGCUCUACUGUAUGGAAAGCUGUUAAAACUAAAGAAUGGCAACCUGUGGUUACUUCAUACCAUGGAUUUGGUACAACACUGGAUCUAUUUUAUUAAUCCAUCUGAAUAAGCAGAACUAGACCCCAUGGCAAUUAAAAUGUUGGUUUAGAAUAUAUAGUGGCUUAUAUUAUUUGCAUAUAGAAUAAUUUUUUGUGGGCUAUAUGGAGCAUCAGUUUAGCACAUUUAACAUUUGUUGUUACUAGGAAUGCAUAUAGUUAGUUACUAUUACCUUAUAUAGACUUGCAAUUGCCUCAUCUCACAAAAUUGCAUGUUACUAUACGCAUCUCAAAUAAUUCUUUUCGGAGGUCAAUGACAAGAGGUGAAUGGUAUAUUGGUAUUGUACAGAGUCUUCAAUCCAAAGGUAUAAAAAUAAUGCAGUGCCAUAAAAAUUUCUACUUGUUAUAGUGCAGUUUUGACUAUGUCAAAAAGGUGUGGGUGCACAUCAUUUACAUUGGUCUAUCAUACAAAAAUGCAGGGUAAUGCUUGCUGGAUAUAUGGACUGCCACAACCCACAGGUAUUACAUUUUAGAUGUGGUUUUUAAUAUCUUUUCUUUUCUGCUAUUCUUAUGAUGCUGGACUGAUUCAACUCCAUUAUGCACAAAUUAAUUCCUUACUUGCACCCUUCAUUCAGAAAUCAGGUUCUAUAGUUACUGAGAAAGAGUAUAUACAUCACCAACUCAUUUUCAGUUGGACAUUUCAUUUUUCAGAAUUAUUGUUUGUUUAAUAAUGCUGCAGGUUUCCCAUCGACAGAUUCCAGUUGGUGUUACAAAGGAUAUAUGCUCAUUGUAUUUGUUGAUGUUGAAGCAUCAGUGAGAUCACAUGAAUGCGGAAUCAGGGUGCUUAUGAGAUCACAUGAAUGAGGUAUUACACCCGCUCCAAAAGUUUCUCAAAUAUACUCUAAAUUUGUUGUAUGUAUGAUGUUUCCGUUGUUCAUUUCUGUUAUUUUUAUUUUUAAUCCUAAUAAGAAUACAAACAGUGCCCAUAUUCUUGUGUUGUAUACAAAGUGCCCAUAUUCUUGUGCUAUUAUGACAAAUUCUUUAGACACAUAGAAGUCACAUCUGGUUUACAACAUAUCUAUCAUUAUGAAAUUAUAUUAAUACUAUACAUCUUAUCCGUCAGUCACUCUUCGUAAUCCAAAGGAACUUCUAGCCCGGAAUCCAACUGAAACUAAAUAAUAAUAAAAUUUCAGAAAAAGUUUGUUGUGUAUGCAUGGAAAUACACUAUGAAUCUCCAAAUGUUCAGUGGUAAAAUCUUGCAAGAUGAAGAAGGUAGUUCUUUUUUUAAUGGUAAAGCAUGUAUUGGAUGAUAGAGUGAUAGCAUUUCAACCUCAGUGUUGCAUAUUACCAUAAGGAUUUAGUUAAGGUCAGACCUUUGCUUUAAUAGUUUCUUCUAAACUGGACACAAACCCCAUACCAUAUCUUUGAGACGGAGUUGGUUCGCACUUGUAUUGCUGGAGGGCCUCGACGCGCCUCUGUGAAGCCAUUUUCAUGCAGGUUCACACAUAUUUGUCUUCCACAUAUAGAAAACUAACAGACGUUAGCAUCAGGUUAUUUGUUUUCUUUUGUAAAAGGUAUGGAAGCUUUAGUCUAAUUAACAAACGGAAGCUUUACUGAGCAAGACAGAAAAAUAAAUAAAAUUACGACAUGAAUUGAAUCAACAUUUUAAAUGCCAGCCAGAUCAAAAGAAAAAUAUUUUUUUUUUACAUAAUACUUGUUAGAAUUAUAGAAAAAAAUGAAGUCCUCCCUGAUGCUGGAUAGAACCUUCUCCAGCUCCUGUUUAGUAGGGCACCAACUACUUUGUUGUAUGCAAAAACAUGAUGAGGUCCAUCGGCUCCUGAACCAAGUAGGGAAAUAGUUCCAAAAGAUAGACCGCCUUAAAUAAGUGCAUUUUUUGAUUAUUUCAUGAAGCAGAGAGUAUUUUAAUAAGCCGUACGGUACUAAUUAUUUCCUAUGUUGCGAAGUAUAAAGAUAGGGCCUCAAAAUUUCAGUACUACUAUCAUUAUCUUGGAUCAGAUGAUGUUGGUUUUGUUAUUCUACAUGCCCUUUUGUAGUGCGUGAGGGACACAACUAUGGUGCUCUUUAGAUUGAGAAUGUCAAAGCCGGCUUGUGCAGAUUAUUUCGAAAGAGACAGCGGUUGCUAUGGUUUGUAUAUUCAAAAGGAAAAUGUAUCUGUUCAAGGCAGUGAGGUAUGUCCCAUGUUUACUCAUACACACAACCUGUCUUGUACUUCCUGGUGGCAAUACAUUAUUUGAUAUCAUCUCUGUCUAUUAUUAUUCGGGUUGAUGUAUUGGUUCUGUUUAUCUCUAUUAUUAGAAAGUACUUGCAGCAGUGUCUUUCGGCUAUAGCUAAGGAAGAAAUAUUCUGACAUUUGUAGCUUCUAAAUGUAUUGUAGCACAUUUGGAUAAAUUCUUCAUUAUCAUAACAAAUGUGAUGAUGCAGGUCUACAGACAGUUCUGAAAUAAGCACUAGAAAAUAUGUUUGUGUGCGAUGACCAUAUAAAUAAAUAUGGUCUAUCUCCAGUCUGAGUAAUAGUGCUCAGACAAGUCAAAUUCUAUAUUUUAGAUUAGUGGUACAUAUUGUCGUCUUAGUGAUACCUUCAAUUGGAGCGUUGUAUAUGACGGUAAACAACCAGUUCUGCAAUCCACUUUUAUUCAUGCAAUUAUUUUUUGGAGCAUUAUAUAUUGCUUCCUGCAUCUAUACUUUUAUCAUAUACUCCCUCCGUCUCGAAUUAGCUGUUGCAGAAAUGGAUAAAAAUGGAUGUAUAUAACUAAAAUACGUCUAGAUACAUCUAUUUCUGCAACAAGUAAUUUCGGACGGAGAGAAUAUAUGUGUGAGCAAGCAGAUAGACGAGGAGGCCGAGCCAUCCGCGAGGGCGUCGACAUCAUCUUGCCCCUUGCCUUGUGGGGCGGAGGAUGAGGAGGCAGGGAAGUCCACACCGCCGCCGUCGUCAUUCUCGCCUUCGAGCGAAAGCGGGUGUUGAACGUGCUUGACCGAGGGUGUCGUGAGCAACCUGAUCGUUUAUGUAACCUAAGACUAAUGCCUGUUGCACCACAUGCGCCCGUUGAUAUCUAUGAUCUAUGAUGUCAGCUGCUUUUCUCUUAGAGACGAUCCAUUUUCUGAAUAUGUUGCAUUUGUAAUACUUUUUCUAAUAAUUCCGGUCAGUUACUUGCACAUACAUA